UGUCCAGUGCCAAUCGACCGCCUAUCAAGGCGCCCCCCUUCCUGUUGUAUGAUGAUUCUGCAAAUUUGCAACUUCUAAGACUUAGCAUUCAGUUUGCAGCGGGUUGCUGCCAUCAUGUGUGCCCCCUUUCUUGCC